UUUUUUUUUUUUAUUUUUUAUGAUCUGUUCUUUUUAUUUCCUCCUUAAUGGGCUGUGAUGAUUAAGAACUACCUAUUUUCUGAGGGGAGUUCUUUCCCUUGAUUAUAAGAAACCAAUGGAUCCUCUGAGCCUGUUCCGCAUUGUUUAUUUCUCUUUGUAAAUUUAUGCACUGCAUGGAACACACCACACGAAGAGUUUUAGCAUGUUUGGUUGUGUUUAAAAGUAAGUAUUGCUAGUAAAGGAAGUUUCUUUGACGCCAGCAAUAUGCACAGGAUGUGGAGGAAAGAGAGAAAAUGGUUAGGUAUAUUUGGAAUGCGUACAGCCACAGUAAUAUUAUCAGGUUGUGUAAUUUCUGGCCAGAGGCCUUUGUGGUGGCGUACCACAGCUUAACUAGUGAAGCUGCCAGCGUCCGGACAGACAGUGUCGGAGAUUUCCAAGAUGUACUUUUGGUCCAGAGAUAUCUAUGAACCACGACCUCCUCUGCAAUUAACCAUAGCUAGAUAAAUUGCAAAGUGAAGUGUAAUUUUGUGCACUUCCAUGGAUGGUACAGAGCAUCUAAGAAGGAAGCUUGACAAUGAACACAAGUGGGAAAGACAAGAAGGCACCAACAACUGCGAAAGGGGCCAGUCGGAUUAUUGAAGGUGGCUAUCACUCUCCAAGAGUCUGAUCCAAUAAGAGUCUCCAAUUAAAUUUCUAGGGAUAGCGUGUAUGGAAGGUCAAUAGCAUAUGAAUCUAAUGGUUCUUAACUCCCCAUUGCAAAGUAAUGAGAUGCACUUGUGGUAGGUAUAGUAAGGAGGAUUGAAUAGUAUUGACUAGUGUUUUAAAAGGCGUAAUGCGUGGCGAUGUGUGGAGGUCAAGCUAUGGGCUAUGCGAGUUUAGGUGAAGCUUAGGAGUAAGAAAAACGUAAAAAGGGCUUCUUCUUUUUUUCAUUUUAAUAGUAUUUUAAUUUUUAAUAAAUCAAAAAAUUA